AGAGUUUGAUCAUGGCUCAGAUUGAACGCUGGCGGCAGGCCUAACACAUGCAAGUCGAGCGGUAGCACAGAGAGCUUGCUCUCGGGUGACGAGCGGCGGACGGGUGAGUAAUGUCUGGGAAACUGCCUGAUGGAGGGGGAUAACUACUGGAAACGGUAGCUAAUACCGCAUAACGUCGCAAGACCAAAGUGGGGGACCUUCGGGCCUCAUGCCAUCAGAUGUGCCCAGAUGGGAUUAGCUAGUAGGUGGGGUAAUGGCUCACCUAGGCGACGAUCCCUAGCUGGUCUGAGAGGAUGACCAGCCACACUGGAACUGAGACACGGUCCAGACUCCUACGGGAGGCAGCAGUGGGGAAUAUUGCACAAUGGGCGCAAGCCUGAUGCAGCCAUGCCGCGUGUGUGAAGAAGGCCUUCGGGUUGUAAAGCACUUUCAGCGGGGAGGAAGGCGAUAAGGUUAAUAACCUUGUCGAUUGACGUUACCCGCAGAAGAAGCACCGGCUAACUCCGUGCCAGCAGCCGCGGUAAUACGGAGGGUGCAAGCGUUAAUCGGAAUUACUGGGCGUAAAGCGCACGCAGGCGGUCUGUCAAGUCGGAUGUGAAAUCCCCGGGCUCAACCUGGGAACUGCAUUCGAAACUGGCAGGCUAGAGUCUUGUAGAGGGGGGUAGAAUUCCAGGUGUAGCGGUGAAAUGCGUAGAGAUCUGGAGGAAUACCGGUGGCGAAGGCGGCCCCCUGGACAAAGACUGACGCUCAGGUGCGAAAGCGUGGGGAGCAAACAGGAUUAGAUACCCUGGUAGUCCACGCCGUAAACGAUGUCGAUUUGGAGGUUGUGCCCUUGAGGCGUGGCUUCCGGAGCUAACGCGUUAAAUCGACCGCCUGGGGAGUACGGCCGCAAGGUUAAAACUCAAAUGAAUUGACGGGGGCCCGCACAAGCGGUGGAGCAUGUGGUUUAAUUCGAUGCAACGCGAAGAACCUUACCUGGUCUUGACAUCCACAGAACUUUCCAGAGAUGGAUUGGUGCCUUCGGGAACUGUGAGACAGGUGCUGCAUGGCUGUCGUCAGCUCGUGUUGUGAAAUGUUGGGUUAAGUCCCGCAACGAGCGCAACCCUUAUCCUUUGUUGCCAGCGGUCCGGCCGGGAACUCAAAGGAGACUGCCAGUGAUAAACUGGAGGAAGGUGGGGAUGACGUCAAGUCAUCAUGGCCCUUACGACCAGGGCUACACACGUGCUACAAUGGCAUAUACAAAGAGAAGCGACCUCGCGAGAGCAAGCGGACCUCAUAAAGUAUGUCGUAGUCCGGAUUGGAGUCUGCAACUCGACUCCAUGAAGUCGGAAUCGCUAGUAAUCGUAGAUCAGAAUGCUACGGUGAAUACGUUCCCGGGCCUUGUACACACCGCCCGUCACACCAUGGGAGUGGGUUGCAAAAGAAGUAGGUAGCUUAACCUUCGGGAGGGCGCUUACCACUUUGUGAUUCAUGACUGGGGUGAAGUCGUAACAAGGUAACCGUAGGGGAACCUGCGGUUG
rnacentral:rRNA from 1 species